CGCGUAGGCGGUUGAGUAAGUCAAAUGUGAAAUCCCCGGGCUUAACCUGGGAACUGCAUUCGAUACUGCUUAACUAGAGUGUGGUAGAGGGAAGUGGAAUUCCGGGUGUAGCGGUGAAAUGCGUAGAUAUCCGGAGGAACACCAGUGGCGAAGGCGACUUCCUGGGCCAAUACUGACGCUGAGGUGCGAAAGCGUGGGGAGCAAACA
rnacentral:rRNA from 1 species